AUCGACAGUUUAGAUCCCGACCACCAAAAGGCCAUCUGCACUAAAACCGGUCUUGGAGGGCUAACGCAAAUGAAGUCAGUGCUUCUCCGACGUAUUACGUUGGUGCUGCUAGCCAAGAGCUACAUCAUAAAAAAGCAGAGUAUUCACAUUGCUGGGGAAGAUAUAUAUAUGGAAAUGGGAAAACCGAUAGAUGUAAACCUGUUAAGCGUUUAUCAAACUGACGGAAGACUUAAGCUGAGUGACCUUGAGAAGAAAAUUAAAGCCUCCAAAACUCCAGAUGAUCAUUUCAUCAGACGGUUUGUUUUGUAUGUUAUUGGCACUAUGUUAGCACCCACGGUACAGGAUUAUGUCGACGCCAAAUAUUUCGUCCUUGUGCAAGACGUCGCAAGAAUUCCCUAUUUUAACUGGGGAUGUUUCACACUUAACCAUCUGUUGACAUCCAUCAAUACUUUUAACUAUGUGGACCAAGUGAAUCUACAAGGAAAUCUAGCUUUGCUGCAAUUUUGGUAUUGGGAACACAUCCGUGCUGGCUUGCUUAUGUAUUCUCGUAUACCCCGUCCGCUGAUGGCACGG
rnacentral:rRNA from 1 species